UGGAAAGAAAGGGUGGGCUUCCUUUUUGGGGAUCUACUGACACUUAUCCCAGAUGAAGGCUCUCGGCAAUUGGGAUAUCGGCAUUUUUUUAUGGCACUAGUACCCCCUCUCUCCAUCUCUUCCCUAUUCGCACAAGCAAGAGAAAAAGGCCGAAGCCCCUCCAUUUCUCCGCUCCAUCUCUAUUGCUCGCGAACUCCAUGAUUAUACCGAAGCCCAGCCUCCGCUUCUCCUCUGUUCGAACCGAGCCAGGACCGAAGUCUCGUCACUUCUAUUGCGUGGAAGCUGAUGACUCCCUUUUUCCCUUGGCAAUGGAUCCAAAGAAAAAAGAAAAUCCUUUAUAAGGAAUUUCUUCUCAUUUCGAUAUCCUAUUGGAUGAUGCAACACAAGAAGCUUGAAGGUAAAGAAGAUGAAGAUAAACAAAAUACCUCAUUUUUAAGACUUUUAUCAUUUCAUAGGGAUAGAAUCCGGGUUGUUGUCGGUGGAGCUCGGCCACCUCUACUUUUCAGUACUUCUUGGGCUAUAUAAUAAGUGGCACUUGCCACGGACUUUUGGAUACUCUGAUUAAUAUUAUUGAUGUGAUGAUGUGUUUACU